UUUUUUUUUCAGUUGUCCAAUUAUAAGCAGCCACCUAUGCACAUAGUUUCUCAAUGAUUACUCUAAAAUUUCUCUACACAGAAACGUUUCUUUAAUUAUGUUAUUCUCCCUCCUCUUUUAUGAAUUGUUUAUAUUAUUUCAGUGAAGAUAAACUCUCAAAAUUGUAACCGAUGGAGAUGCUCUUAUAAUUAUAGAUAAU
rnacentral:sRNA from 1 species